UGGGAAACUCCACUGACUACGGGGAAAA
rnacentral:piRNA from 1 species